rnacentral:rRNA from 1 species
UACAGAGACUGCAAGCGUUAUUCGGAUUCACUGGGCGUAAAGGGUGCGCAGGCGGUCGGGUGUGUCAGAUGUGAAAUCCCGAGGCUCAACCUCGGAACUGCGUCUGAAACUACUCGACUAGAGUACUGGAGAGGGUAACGGAAUUCACGGUGUAGCAGUGAAAUGCGCAGAUAUCGGGAGGAACACCGGUGGCGAAGGCGGUUCUCUGGGCCUUACCUGACGCUGAGACGCGAAAGCGUGGGGAGCGAACAGG